rnacentral:lncRNA from 1 species
ACGAAGCUGAUUCUGUUUCUAGACUCUCUUAACCAUUGUGUACUGUAUGAUGACUUUUUUUUUUUUUUAAACAAACUUUUUGUUCCAAUCUGGAAGCAAGAAAAAUCCUGUCUUCUGAGACUUUGGGGUAGUAGUUUGGCAAAUGGAGAAAUCAGACCACAUAGGCCAGCCGCACUCACUUGGGAGUGCUUGUGUGCCGACUCCUCUGCUCGUGUGGUGAAGGUGUUAUGUCACCUCGCAUGAGCAGAGCUCUACACGCGCCUGCCACGCAGCUGUAAACAGCGGGGGCUCGCCGGGCUCAGGUUUUGUAGAGUAAGCUGAUGCAGAGGCACACCGGCUUCUUUGAAGCAUUACUGCAACAUUUGCUAACAGAGAGCAAGAAUAAAGCAACAGGAACACCCCAGCAAGAUGAAUUUGUUCUGUUUAUGCUUCAGCGUGUGCUCAUGUGGCAUAUGACAAGUACAGGAGACUUUAAAGAUGAUCAGCAAAUGGAAUCCAUGAAGCUUGGCCUCUACCCUCUCUCCGUUGGGAGUGCGUGCUGCAUAAGCAACUGCAGUUUGUCUCUCUCCCCCCAAAUGACAUGUGACUCUUACAGUGAGGUCCCUGUGAUUCUUGUCCGAUACUGAAACUGCUGAGAGCAGCUGGAGGAGCACRGGCAUUUUGAUUGCCCCAUGCUGUAGAAGAAAGCCUAAUUGUUAGUUACAGUGUAUGAAUUAAAACCAUGUAUGCAUUUUUGUUAGUUUUGCUAAACUCGACAGUUGUUGCCAAUGAUAGAUGUCUCUCAAAACAGGAAAUUGUUUCCAUUGUGUUUGAUUUUUCAUGAAAAUGUGUGAACACAUAAGUAUUCCUUGUAUUUCCCUCUUCAGCAUAUAACAUCAGUCAUUUCAACACCCCUAAAAGUGAAACAACUCCCUACUGAGAUGGCUCUUAACCAGGCUGAUGUUUAUCUGAUCACUUCCUCAGUCUGCUGCGAGAAAGAAAUCAAGCAUCUUCCUUCACACUGAGUGCUGGCACGUCACAGAAUUCCUCUGGGACUCCACAAAGCAGAAAAAACAGCACAAGCCGGAAUCUGUCCCUGUAUCCUGCAUAAGCUACCCAGCUUUUUUGUUCUCAUACCGGCUCUCCUCACUGCUCAGUUACACUGGGUCAUGUCUACAGUAAAUUUACAGAUUGUAAAUAGGUGGGAACUGGUAUCUGGUUUCUUUAUAAAUACUGUAAAUCAUGGGCAUGG